CUGUCUUCGAGCCCCUCCUCCUGUGGCAUUGCUAUGGAGCCCGGGCCGCACCGGAUAUCCCGGUUCAGGGCACAGCCGGAAACAGCUGUACCUUCCGCUUUUGAAAAGGAGACAUGGCA
rnacentral:ncRNA from 1 species